GAGUUUGAUCUUGGCUCAGAUUGAACGCUGGCGGCAUGCCUUACACAUGCAAGUCGAACGGCAGCACGGGAGCUUGCUCCUGGUGGCGGGUGGCGAACGGGUGAGUAAUGCAUCGGAACGUAUCCUGGAGUGGGGGAUAACGUAGCGAAAGUUACGCUAAUACCGCAUAUUCUGUGAGCAGGAAAGCGGGGGACCUUCGGGCCUCGCGCUCUUGGAGCGGCCGAUGUCGGAUUAGCUAGUUGGUGAGGUAAAGGCUCACCAAGGCGACGAUCCGUAGCAGGUCUGAGAGGAUGAUCUGCCACACUGGAACUGAGACACGGUCCAGACUCCUACGGGAGGCAGCAGUGGGGAAUUUUGGACAAUGGGGGCAACCCUGAUCCAGCCAUGCCGCGUGAGUGAAGAAGGCCUCGGUUGUAAG
rnacentral:rRNA from 1 species